UACGUAGGGGGCAAGCGUUGUCCGGAUUUAUUGGGCGUAAAGAGCGUGUAGGCGGCCGUGUAGGUCUGACGUGAAACCUGGAGGCUCAACCUCCAGCUGUCGUUGGAAACCGCUCGGCUAGAGUCCGGAAGAGGAGAGUGGAAUUCCUGGUGUAGCGGUGAAAUGCGCAGAUAUCAGGAAGAACACCUAUGGCGAAGGCAGCUCUCUGGGACGGUACUGACGCUGAGGCGCGAAAGCGUGGGGAGCGAACAGG
rnacentral:rRNA from 1 species